rnacentral:rRNA from 1 species
UACAGAGGGUGCGAGCGUUAAUCGGAAUUACUGGGCGUAAAGCGCGCGUAGGCGGCUUUGCAAGUCGGGUGUGAAAUCCCCAGGCUUAACCUGGGAACUGCAUUCGAGACUGCAUUGCUAGAGUAUGGGAGAGGGAAGUGGAAUUUCCGGUGUAGCGGUGAAAUGCGCAGAUAUCAGGAAGAACACCGAUGGCGAAGGCAGUGGGCUGGGCCGGUACUGACGCUGAGGAGCGAAAGCGUGGGGAGCGAACAGG